rnacentral:misc_RNA from 1 species
GAUGAAGAACGUAGUGAAAUGCGAUACUUGGUGUGAAUUGCAGAAUCCCGUGAACCAUCGAGUCUUUGAACGCAAGUUGCGCCCGAUGCCAUUAGGCCGAGGGCACGCCUGCCUGGGCGUCACACGUCGUUGCCCCCCCAUCUACUCCUUCGGGAUUGCGUGGGGCGGAUGAUGGCCUCCCGUGCGCCUCGUCGCGCGGUUGGCAUAAAUGCCAAGUCCUCGGCGACGCACGCCACGACAAUCGGUGGUUGCGAAACCUCGGUUGCCCGUCGUGUGCGGUCGUCGCGCAUCGAGGGCUCGAAAAAAUUGCCGGGCUCCGGCUCGGCUUUCAACGCGACCCCAGGUCAGGCGGGGUUACCCGCUGAAUUUAAGCAUAUCAAUAAGCGGAGGA